UAGACAUAUUUGUAUGCACGGCGGAUCCGUCGGCGGAGCCACCAAGUAUGGUGAUGAACACUGUUUUAUCGGUGAUGGCAUAUGAUUAUCCCCCGGAGAAGUUAAACAUCUAUUUAUCUGACGACGGAGCGUCGGAAUUAACGUUUUACGCCAUGUUAGAAGCUUCAAGUUUCUCAAAGCAAUGGCUGCCGUUUUGCAAGAAGUUCAAAGUGGAAUCCAGAUCACCCGAGGCUUACUUUAGGACAGCUGUUGAACCAGACAGCCAUCAUCCUCUUAUGCUUAAACACUGGCUUUUAGUCAAGGUAUUUGUUUCCUUUCUUACAUGAUGAAUAAUUUGUUAAAUUUUGUGCAGCUUUUUUGUUACUUUUUUAACGAAAUUAAAGUAAAAAAACACAUAAAACAUAGAUAGUGGAAAUAAAAGCUUAAUUUAUUUAUUAUAAAAUCUAGAAUAUAAAUUUUCACCCUUAAACUUGACAAUUAGGUUCACUUUGGUACAUUUAUUUCUUUUUCCAUCCAUUUUGGCACUUAAAUUUAGCAACUAGAUUCACUUUGGUCCCUAAAUUUAAAUUUUGUCAAGAUUUGAUGAUGUGACUGGUGUUGCUGGAACAAAACUAAAUCUGAUUGAUAUAAAGGUCCGAACAAAGGGGUUAAACCAAUCGACUCUAAAACUGCUUGAAUUUGGUAAAAAUAAAAUACUCAAAACAAAAAUUUAAAUUUUUAUGAAUUUUAAUUAUUUAUUUAAUUAUUAUUAGUACGAUAGUGUAAUCAAUCGAACUCGUUGAAUCCGUAACCGAUGGUCCAACCUGUUCAACUACCAAUCUAUUUAUUAAAACAUUGAAUGUUCACAUCAUCACUUGAAAGCUUAUAUAAAAUUUUUUUUAUUUUUUAAACAAUGAUGUAGCACAAUGUAUAAUCUUAAAGUGCCACUUCAUCAAAUUUUUAUAUUUUUUAAGUUCAAAUUAAAAUGAACCUAAUUAUCAAGUACAAGUAUCAAAGUAAACCUAAUUGCCAAGUUCAAAGAGAAAAAAUUAUAUUAUCUCAUUAUAAAAGAAUAUUGUAAAUGAAUAUGGGGUUAUAACCAUUAUUAGUCAACUUUAACCUUUAUCACCAUCUUCAGUACUAAUAUUUUGUUGACAGUAACAACAAGUGUUAAGUGUAGUGGUAAAAUAAAUUAUCUCCUAAAAAAAACAUAAAUUCAAACUUUAGAGAUGAUUUUGUAGGGAGAGAUAGCCAUGAAUCCUGAAUGUAACAGUAAAAUGGAUAGUAAUAGCCAUAUUUUUUAUUUAAUUUAAUAAUGACGUAUUAUAUUAUUAUUUUUGACAAUAAAAUACAAAUUUUGGCCAGUUUUUUUUUUCUUUUUUUAAACUUCAACUUGAUUCAAAACCCAUGUAUUAUCUUUUUUUUUUUUUGUAAAUAACUCUCCUUUAUAUAUAUAUAUAUAUAUAUAUAUAUAUAUUCAUGACAUAAAAUAGUUAAUGUUGAAUGAACUUCUCUAAAGAAAAAAAAUUAGAUAAAAUAUUAGGAAGAAGUUGAGCGAAAAAAAAAGGAUAAAAAGAUUACAAAGAAAAGUUAUCAAACAUUUAAAAAAGGGUGCAUUAAAAGAGAAGAAAAGAAAUUGUGGGGAGGAAAAGAGUGAAAAAAUUGAAAAGUUUUAAUUCAAAAAUGAUUGGUUAAGGGACUCUUUUUAAUGGCUCGUGUAAUUUGACUAAUAGAGUAUAAUUUUUUUUGUUCAAUAAUUAAUGGAGAAUAAUUUAUAUAUAUAACAAAAUAUAAUUUUGAUGUUAUUUGUGAUAAAAAAAACUUAAGAUAUUACUUGUGAUAAAAAAAUUUUAAGUAGCAAUUUAAAAAAAUAAUGGUUUAAAUAUUAUUUUAUGAUUUAAUCAUACUCAUUAUUAAUAGGUUAUUUUACAUUGCUUAUAUAAUGACCAUUUCCUUAUACCAUUUUCAAUAUAUAAAGCGUUAGUAUUUAGUGUAAAUUUUUUAUUUUAUAAGUAAUUUUAAAAAAUUGUCAUAUGUUUUUUUUCUAAAAACAUAUUUUACUACACUCCUAUAAAAUACUUGUCAACCUUUUAAUUUUGCUUCCAAAUAAUUUCCCAUACGUAUGGGUAAUUAUUCUAUCCACGGCCAAUGGAGUAAAAAAAAAAAAAAAACUUCACAAGUGGGUUUAGAAUAAUAUCAAAUGUAUUUUUUUUUAAAUUAUUUACUUAUUACUUUAUUGUACCUAAAAACAAAUCACAUCGAUCUAGAAUCGCUUAUUAAAUUUUUUUACUGUGUAAGAUAAUAAUGUUAUAUAUAUUUAUUCUUUUAUGAAUCACAUAAGGUAUACAAAUGUAGGAAUAAUAUAUUGAAAAGGUGAUAGUUCAAGCUUGCCCUACCUUGAAACCCAGGUUUUGGAAAUGAAUAUGUUGUUUUUAAAAAAAAAAAAAAAAAACUUAUUUUGAAAUAUUGUUGUUACAUAUUAUAUAGUUUUGGGUUAACACAGAAACUAUACGAGGAGGCAAAGAUGAGGGUUGAAAUGAAGCAAAUCCCAGAAGAGAUUCGUGAAUGGAAUUUGGUUUCAAGCAGAAAUGAUCAUCAAACUAUUUUUAAAGUAAAUUAAAUCUUAAAAAGACUUGAUUAAUUAGUUUGUUUAGAUCUUAAUUGCUGCGGAUGCUGAAGGAAACGUUCUGCCAACACUUGUGUAUUUGGCACGUGAAAAAAGACCCCAAUUUCACCACCAUUUCAAAGCUGGAGCCAUGAAUGCACUUGUAAGUAUAAUAUAUGCACGUGUACUUAAAUUUUUUUAAUAUACUUGACGUGCAUUUUUUAUCACUCCCAAUAUUGUUUAUGAAACUUUUAAAUUCUUAUAUAUAUUAAUUUAUUUAUUUACUUUAUAUGUUAUUAAUUAAUGAAUAAUUUUCAUGGUAAAAAAAACAGAUUAGGGUCUCUGCAGAGAUAAGCAACAGCCCAAUUAUUUUGAAUUUAGAUUGCGACAUGUAUUCAAACAAUUUGGAAUCAAUUCACUAUACCAAAACAAGCUUUUAGCGGCACUUUUAGCGGCGUUUGGAGCAAAAACGCUGCUAAAGAGUGAGCAUUAGCGGCGUUUAAGGAAAAGCGCCGCUAAAGAGUGAACAUUAGCAGCGUUUAUAAAAAACGCCGCAAAUAAUACACCCAGACAGUGCCGUUUUGUGGCUUUUGGGGGGGAAUUAGUGGCGUUUUUUGUAAAGCGCCGCUAAAGAGUUAACAUUAGCAGCGUUUAUAAAAAACGCCGCAAAUAAUACACCCAGACGGUGCCGUUUUGUGUCCUUUGGGGGGAAUUAGUGGCGUUUUUUGUAAAGCGCCGCUAAUCUAGGUGUUUUAGCGGCGUUUUUGUUUAUGCGCCACAAUAAUUUUUUAUCUUAAUUGAACUAUUAUUUAUAUUAUUUGAAUCAAAUUAAACAUAUUUCUAAUAGAAUAUUUAAAAUCUUCAAUAAAAAAUAACAGGUAUAAAUAAUUUGAAAUAAAACUCAUGGAAAAAUUAAAAUAGUAUUAUUUAAAAUAAUUUUAAAUUUUUUGUUGGGUACAUUACUGAUUGUUUUUUAAUUUAUAUAUUAAAAAUUUGAAAUUAUUAUCGUAAUUAAAAGAGAUAGUAAGUAUUAAUUUAAAUUUAAAAUAUUGAAUUAAGCGUAUCACUAUAGUUAAUAUAGGGUUUUAGGUUUUAGGGGUAUAUAUAUGAUAUUAUUAAUUUAAGAUUUUAAGUCGGUUUAGGGGUUACUAUUUUAAGGUUAUUAUUAUAAUUGAUCAGGAGUAUAUAUAUAUAAUAUUGGAUUUAGGGAUAUGGUGUAAGGCUGAGAUAUAAUGUUUAGGGGUUAGGGUUGGGGUUAGCACUUAGGGGUUAUUAGGAGUUAAUUAAGGAUUUAGGGUUUAGCUAGGGGUUGGGUUAGGGAACGUAGGGUUUAGAUUAAUUAGUAUUGCCAAAUUAUAUUUUAAAUAUGUUCUUAUAUAUAUAAUUGUAAAAGAGGUAAUAAUAAAUUUGUUUAGGAUUUUUCGGUUCGGUAUAUGAUUUGGUUUCGGUAUAUUAUUAAUUUAAAUACUAAUUUGAAUAGUAAUGCUCAAAUAAUUCAUGAGUAACACUUAAAUAUAUACUUAAAUAAUUUUGUGAAUUUGAAUUGAAAGAAUGAUGAAAUUGAAAUUGAAUUGAAAAACGAAGCUUAGAUUUGAAAAUAUGACUAUUUAAGUUUUAGGGACUAAAUUGAAUAAAAUGGAAAAUGUUAGGGAACUUCUCAAAAGUGGAAUGAGCUGACUUAUACCUAUAACAGGAUGAUAUAAGACAAUUGUGUAAAAAAAUAUCCGGUGUUUACUUCAAAUAAAUGAGGAAAAUAACGAUUUGAAUGUUUCAAAAUUCAAAUUUAAACCGAAAAAAUCAAAAUUGAGGGGCAAAAGAGGAUCUUUUUCGAUGAAAACUUUGGCAAACCACCUUUGGCCAUUUGCCAGCACGUAGAUCUCGAAAAUUUAUUCGAAAUAAAAAAAAAUUCGCCUCAAUCGGACAACCGAGCCAAAAGUUAUGGCCUUUCAAAGUUUUCCAAGCUAAAAACACAAACUGUUCAUGCCACGUCAGCAAAUCACGUCCUAGAGGGCGCGAUUUCUUCCACGUAAGCAAAUCGUGCUGACGUGGACGCGAUGUCCUGGCGCGUACCCUGACAUCGCGCUGACGUGGACGCGAUUUCGAAAAAAAUGGCCCAUUCCGGUAAAUUUCAAACUUUAUACAAAAAGUUUUUAGUAUUAAUUAUUAUUUAAUCAAUUAUAACUAUUUUAUGAUAUUUAUUAAAGAUUUAGGGAUUAUUUUGGAUGGUCGUGCUAUUUUAAGGAUUAGGGGGUACAGAUUUAGGGUUUGGGAUAUAAGAGUUAGCUAGGGGUUUAGGGGUUACAAGUUACGAUCUAGGGGUUAAAGAUUUAGGAUUUAGGGGUUUAGGGGUCAAAUAAGGAUUUUAGGUUAGUUUAGAUUAAUUUAUUUAAAUAAUAUUUUAAAAAAUCAAUCUAAAGUACCAAUUGAUAUAUUUAAAUAUUAUUUUAAAUAGAAUUCAUAAAUAAGUUAAAAAAUAUAUUGAUAUAUAUUAUAUGGAUGGUUAUAUAUUUAGGUAUAAUUAUUUAUUUUGGAAAUAUAUAUAUAUAGGACCAAAUACAUAAGAAAUGAAAUAAAAAAAACAAAAAAAUUCAAAACGGCGCCGUUUUCGAAUGAAUAGUUAAACUUUUGGUGGCGUUUAACUGUUAAAUGCCGCAAAUAUGGGAAGCAGUCCUGGCGUUUGUACAAGAAACGCUGCAAAAGUGUCUUUAAAAUUUGAGUAAACGACACCGUCCGUCUACACGAUUUUUAGAUUAUAAAAAAGUUUAGAAUUAUUUACUUUAAAUGUCACCAUUUGGCUUGUUGUACGUUAAGUAUUAGUGACGUUUUUAUAUAAAACGCCACAAAAUGAACAAUUUGAGAACCAAAAAACAGCGCCGUUUCUGCAUACAGGUUUAAAUUUUUAUGGCGUUUUCGAAAAAACGCAGGAAAUUUUGGAAGCAAUAGCGGCAUUUUUUCAGUAAACGCCACAAAAGGGUAUUAAAAUAAUGUCUAAAUGGCGCCGUUUCUGUACACGAUUUGUAACAUAGAAAAAUUUUACAAUUAUUUAUUUAAAACAUCAAUUAAGUGUUCGUGGCGUUUUUGCACAAAACGCAACAAAUAAUACAAAUUGAGACUAGCAAAACGGCGCCAUUUCUAUUUAAAACUUGAACUUUUAGUGGCGAUUUUAUAUCAAACGCCGCAAAAGGGUUUUAAAAAAUGGGUAAACGGUGUCGUUUGUUUACAGUAUAUUUUAGUUUGACAAAUUUUAGUGGCAUUUGUGCUUAAAACGCCAGAAAUAAUGCAAUUAUUCCAGACCAUGCAAAACGGUGUCGUUUCUGUUCACAGCUGUAAUAUCUAGUGGCGUUUUUAGGAAAACGCCACAAAUAAUACAAUUCCAGACCACGAAAACGGUGUCGUUUCUGUUCACAGCUGUAAUAUUUAGUGGCGUUUUUAGGAAAACGCCACAAAUAAUGCAAUUAUUCCAGACCACGCAAAACGGUGUCGUUUCUGUUCACAGCUGUAAUAUUUAGUGGCGUUUUUAGGAAAACGCCACAAAUAAUGCAAUUCCAGACCACAAAAACGGUGUCGUUUCUAUUCACAGCUGUAAUAUUUAGUGGCAUUUUUGGAAAAACGCCACAAAUAAUACAAUUCCAGACCACGAAAACGGUGUCGUUUCUGUUCACAGCUGUAAUAUUUAGUGGCGUUUUUUAGGAAAACGCCGGAAAUGUGGAAGAAAUUGCGGCGUUUGUACCAAAAACGCCGCAAAACGGUGUUAAUAUAAUGGCUAAACAACGUCGUUUCCGGAACAGAUUUUUAACUUAGAAAAAUUUUAGAAUAAUUUAUUUAAAACGUCAGCGUUUGGCUUAAAAUAGAUUAAGUAUACGUGGCGGUUUUUAUUAAACGCCACAAAAAAUACAAUUUCAGACUAACAAAACGGCGCCGUUUCUGUUAAAAGGUUUAAUUUUUUGUGGCGUUUUGUCUAUAAACGCCAGAAAUUUGGAAUAAGUAGUGGCGUUCUUUCAAGAAACGCCGCGAAGGUGUUUUAAUAUUUUUUCUCAACGAUGCCGUUUCUGCAGAUGUUGUUUAACUUAGCAUUUUUACUCACUCGACAAAGACAGAAAGAAAAGGCAAGUGCAGAGGCCGAUUGGAAAGGGGAAAAAACCUAAGAAAAUAUUCUAAGGAAGAAAGGGGAGGAGAAAUCAGAAAUCAUCAAAGAGGAAGCAACGAUUGCGCCAUUCUUGACAGUAAUUGCAGAAUAUCUGGUUAAAAGGUAUGCGUUUAAUCCUUCUGAAGAACAUCGUCUUGAUUUGGGGUUUUGGGUGUAUUGUGUUUUUUGAAUUUGGGGUUUAGAAAAAAAAUUAGAUUUUAGGGUUUCCGGUUUAGGUUAAAAUACCAUUCUUGUUUGGGAAUUUGGGGAACUUGUGAAUUAUUUAUUUAGCAAUUUAAAUAGAAGGGUUUGUUUAGGAAAAAUUUUGUUUAUUUAGGGGUUGCCCGAAUACAAAUAUGGGUCCUCAACACAACCUGUUGUUUCUCCAUUACAGCGAUUUUUGGAGAAGCAUAAAAGGGUAAGGACAGCCCUUCUGGUCAUGGUAGUAUUUGGUGCUUCUAUGGUCAUAGGGGAUGAUGUAGUCACUCUAGCAAUUUCAGGUUGAUAUAAUGGGUAACUAAAUUUGAAUAUCUCAAACUCCCGGAUUAUCAUCUUUAUGGCUGUGGAUUCUAGAGUUUAAUCUCGGUUCCUUUUAAACAUAUGUGGCAACUAGGACAAUAAGCAAAACUGUUUUAUAUGUCAGUAUAUAUGAUUGUGGAUGGUGCUGGUGAGCUUGAGAAUACAUUCCCUUUAAUAGCUCUGCUAAUAUUUUGCAUAUGGACUAGACAAGAGAUACUAGUAAAUAACUCGUCUGGUCUUACACCUGAAAGACUCAAAUUAACAUAGAUUUAAACCCAAGGUAGCUGGUGAAGGUUAAAUAAUGCAAUUAUUUUCCUAAAAUUUUCUUGGCUGAGCCAUUAUUCGGACCAUGCAAUCAUUGUUGCAAUAGUGCAUAAUUAUGUCUGAUUCGUUUAGUCUGGUUAUUUCUCAGCUGGACAUAGUUGAUCUCCCAUGACAGAGUUAUGGAUACUGAUAUAAGAAGUUCUUUAAUUGUUGCAAUAGUGGUGUCAUCGUAACUUCCACAUUACUUUAUUAACUUUAAGUGGUUGCGUUAUUCCUCCUACCUGGAGUAUAUUGUUUGUGGUGUAUGGUUUGACAUGUCUCAGUGCUGAUUUUUCAAUAUUCAAAUAAGAUUUUUAAUUUUGGAUUUUGUUAUAUUUAAGUUUUAUACUAAUUUUUUCCUGUUUAUUUGGAACUAACUUACUUAUGUUUUCCUUUUUAUUUUUAUUUUUUGCAGUAGUUUGCUUCGAAGUCCAGGAAAUUGAGGUAUUUAUUCCUAUGUUUCCCACCUCGGUUUUCUUAAAAAAAACACCUCCAAAUGUUUAAAUUUUGGAUUUUGUUACUUUAAUUAUUAUUUUUGAGUUUUAAAAGGGAGUUUUAAUUAAGAAUUUUUUUAACACUGUGGGUAUCGGUUUUAUUUCUCAUUUUUGAUUUAUAUGUUGCUAGCUCAAUUUGCAUGUUACUUUGCCAAAUUUUUCCAUAACUGCAAGGUAUAAACUAUGAUUGUAAUUCUUGUACGUAUUUUUUACCCAAGCAAAAACAAUUACGCAAAUGAUUAAAAUUCUUAAAUCAGUUUAUAUAUUUGAGUAAGUGAAUAAAUUAUGGGCAAAUAGUGGAUUCGUUUUAAAGUGAACAAAUUAUCGAUUUUCAAGGAUCUUGUCAAUUAAUAAAUUAUCGACGUUAGUUCUCAUUUAUGCGAUUGAAUGUUAAAUUUAUUACUAAAAUACAUUACUUACUAAAAUACAUUACUUACUAAAAUUUGUUUAAAUUUAUUACUAAAAUACAUUACUUACUAAAAUAAAUUACUUACUAAAAUUUGAUUAAAUUUAUUACUAAAAUACAUUACUUACUAAAAUUUGUUUAAAUUUAUUACUUAAAUAUGUUACUUAAAUACAUUACUUACUAAAAUUUAAGUAUAUAUUACAUUACUUACAUAACUUGUUAAAAUAUAUUAUAAUUUUAAAAAUAAUUAUAAAUAAGAUGCAUAAAAGUGCUAUACUUACAUCAUACAUAUCUUACAUAGCCAAAAGAUUGCCUAUAAAUAAUUAAUUUAUUAAAGAGUAUACCUUAUAAUUAAUUUUUGUUAUCAUGUUAUAAUAAAAGAUAAAAUAAAAUAUAAAAAAAUAUGUGGAAUAUUAAAAUUGACUAUUAAAAUAAAAUGUUAUUUUAUUAAAUAUUAUUAAUAAUUAUAUUAGUAAUGUUAUUAAAUUAUAUAUUAUUUUAUUAAAUUUUAUUUUAACAAUAAUUAUGUUAAAAUAUAAUUAAAUUAUUUAUUUUUGUUUUUAUUAUUUAUUAAAAAAUAUUUAACAAUAAUCUUAUUAAAAUUUAAUAACAAUAACCUACAUAAGCUACAUAACCUACAUAAUACAUUUAACUUACAUAACUUGCAUAAUACAUUUAACUUACAACUUACAUACUACAUAAUAACUUACAACUUACACAAUACAUUUAACUUACAACUUACAUAAUACAUAAUAACUUACAACUUACAUAAUACAUUUAACUUACAACUUACAUAAUACAUAAUAACUUACAACUUACAUAAUACAUUUAACUUACAACUUACAUAAUACAUUUAACUUACAUAACUUACAUAACUUACCAUUGUAAUUUCUGGUGAAAAUCAGACUUCAAGAUCUAAGAAAUGGACCGGUCUUGGAUGAAUUUGUCAAGGGUAAGCGACGGUUAUCGAAAUGGAGUACAGACUUUUCUAAAUUUUGCAUUUCAAUAUGCAAGCCAAGAGAACAUGAUUCUUUGCCCGUGUAAGAAGUGUGUCAACAUAAACUGGCAUUAUCGUGAAGUUGUAUACGAGCAUCUAAUUGUUGAUGGGUUUGUUUGGGGUUAUAAACAAUGGUUAUUUCAUGGAGAAUGCCCGCCUAGUACUUCCUCUUCAAGGAUGGAUGUAACUUAUCCUGAUACUGCUUACCAUCAGUUUGAUAGAGGGGAUGACAUGGAAGGUAUGUUGCGGGAUGCAUUUAAUAUGCACAAUCAUGGUGUCGAAUCAUUCCCAGCGGAAUUUAUGGCCUCUGAUGAUUGUAAUAUUGGUGGAAAUACUUUUACCGAACCGGGAAGUAGUGUACGUCAUGAAGAGACGAAUGGAGAAGCGGUGAAGUUCUACGCGAUACUUAAUGACAUGAACGAAGAACUGUAUGAGGGAUCAAAAUUUUCAAAGAUGUCCUUCUGUGUUCAUCUUUUUCAAUUAAAGUGUUUGGGAGGGUGGACCGGAAANNNNNNNNNNNNNNNNNNNNNNNNNNNNNNNNNNNNNNNNNNNNNNNNNNNNNNNNNNNNNNNNNNNNNNNNNNNNNNNNNNNNNNNNNNNNNNNNNNNNNNNNNNNNNNNNNNNNNNNNNNNNNNNNNNNNNNNNNNNNNNNNNNNNNNNNNNNNNNNNNNNNNNNNNNNNNNNNNNNNNNNNNNNNNNNNNNNNNNNNNNNNNNNNNNNNNNNNNNNNNNNNNNNNNNNNNNNNNNNNNNNNNNNNNNNNNNNNNNNNNNNNNNNNNNGAUUUUACGGUAUUUUCUGUUGAUACCAAGGCUUUAAAGGCUUUUCAUGUCGUUGAAGACAGCGGAGUCAAUGACAUGGCACCAUGAUGGAUGAACCGUUGAUGGAUUACUAAGGCAUCCAACAGAUUCUUUAGCUUGGAAAUCAUUUGACAAUAAAUUUACAAGCUUCGCAAGCGAUCCUAGGAGUGUGAGGCUUGGGCUAGCAUCUGAUGGAUUUAAUCCUUUCAAGAUCAUGAGCACUGCCUACAGUACUUGGCCAGUAGUGCUUGUUCCUUACAAUCUGCCUCCGUGGAUUUGCAUGAAGCAAUCUUCCCUUAUCUUAUCUAUGAUUUUCCCUGGAGAGAAAGGGCCCGGGAAUGAUAUCGACAUGUAUUUGCAGCCACUUAUUGAAGAGUUAAAACAAUUGUGGGCUGGUGUCGAGACAUAUGAUGUGCUGAGAAAGGAGAACUUUAAUUUACGUGCAGCUUUGAUGUGGCCCAUUAAUGACUUUCCCGCUUAUGCCAAUUUAUCCGGUUGGAGUACCAAGGGUCGUUAUGCGUGUCCUUGUUGUGCUGCACAAACAUGUUCGCAAUGGUUGUACAAUGGGAAGAAGUUCUCUUACAUGGGGCAUCGUCGGUGGUUACCGAAAAAUCAUAGAUUUAGAUUUCAGAGUUCUGUAUUUGACGGUACUGAAGAGUUCAGAGAAGCUCCUUCGCAGACCAGUGGUUCUGAAAUAUUGUUCAUGUUGGAAGAUAUGAAUUUCAUUUAUGGGAAGAUGAACCAACCGCCAAACACGCAAAGAAAUAGAAGAUCCAAUGAUGAAGCUGAUGAUGACUCUGAUGAAGAGGACGAUCCUAAUGAGGCGGAGUUGUGGAAAAAAAAGAAGUAUUUUUUUUGAGUUACCUUAUUGGGAGCAUCACCUUCUACGACACAAUCUUGAUGUUAUGCACAUUGAGAAAAAUGUCUGCGAGAACAUUGUGGGUACAGUUUUGAAUGUCGACGGAAAAUCAAAAGACAAUCUUCAGAGUCAACUUGAUUUAGUCCAAAUGGGAAUCCGACCUGAUCUUCAUCCCAAUCCACUUCCGAAUGGGAAAUAUCGGUUGCCGCCUUCUAUUUUUUCAAUGUCGAAGACGGAAAAAGAAUUGUUCUGCACGGUGUUGAAGGAUAUAAAGGUUCCAGAUGCGUAUGCAUCAAAUAUAUCUCAAUGUGUUAGUGUUAAAGAUCGAAGAUUAUAUUCGCUAAAAUCACAUGACUAUCACAUCUUGAUGCAAGAUUUACUGCCAGUGGCUCUACGAUGUUGUAUGUCCAAGAAGGUGACGUCUUGUAUAAUUGAACUAUCCAACAUAAUGAAAGCCAUUUGUGGCAAAGUUUUGGACGUUCAAGAACUUCAGAAGGUACAGGAUCGAGCCGCUUUGACUUUAUGCAACAUGGAGAAAAUCUUCCCACAUUCCUUCUUCACCAUUAUGGUUCACUUGAUAAUCCAUCUCCCGCACGAAGCAAUUCUUGGCGGACCCGUUUUCUAUCGAUGGAUGUAUCCCAUAGAAAGGUGUUAAUUAAAAUUUUUAAAGUUUUCCUUCAUUCACCUCUAUGCCUUUAGUUUUCAAUAAUUAAGAAAUGUUGUAUAUUGUGUUUAGGUUUCUAUCCAAAUUUAAAGUCUUACUGCCGCAACAAGCGAUAUCCAGAAGGAUCGAUUGCUGAAGGCUACUUGGCAGAAGAAUGUAUGACCUUCUGCUCAAGAUAUUUGGAAGAUGUUGAAACAUGUUAAAUAGACCAAAUAGGAAUGCUGGACUCACGGACCAUAACUUAGCCGAUACUUAUUUGUUCCAAAGUUUUGGAGAACCAAUCGGAAAAGUUGAAAUUGCAGAAUUAGAUCAUUUAUCGUGGGUACAAGCACAUCGAUAUGUUCUAUUUCACCAUGAAUUACUGGAACCUUUACGGAAGUAAGUUCUACAAAUUUGAUAAAUAUUUAUCAAACUAAUAACUGUUUAUCUUCUAAGAAAGAUCACAUUUUUUUUACACAGUGAGUACAAACAAAUAUUGAGAUCUCGUUUGCGCUCUCGAAGAACACAACAUCGAGGUAUCAAUAAGUUGUUUACAGAAUCUUUUUAUGAAUGGUUAAGCCAAACGGUAUGCAAUUCGAGCUUCCGCUUACAAAUAAUAAUGUUUUCUCAUAACAAAUGAAUUACUCAGUUUACUUUCCAUUCAAUAGGUUUGGAGUGGGAAGAACGUAAACGACGAUGUUAAAUGGCUCUCCCAAGGUCCAAAUCGAGUGGUUAAAAGAUAUAGUGCGUUCCUCAUCAACGGAUUCAGAUUUCAUACAAAAUAUCGCGAGAGGUUGAGGAGAACGCAAAAUUGUGGAAUAGUUGUCAAUUCUGCAAUUACAAGUUAUGCUAGUGCUAGGGACAAUAAUCCUGUCGAGGGAAAUGUGGAAUAUUUCGGACAACUUACUGACAUAAUUGAGUUGGAUUACUACGGCAAAUGGAAAGUUGUCUUAUUUCGUGUGAUUGGGCCGAUGUUAAUACAGCUCGUGAAUUAAGCAAGAUCAAUUUNNNNNNNNNNNNNNNNNNNNNNNNNNNNNNNNNNNNNNNNNNNNNNNNNNNNNNNNNNNNNNNNNNNNNNNNNNNNNNNNNNNNNNNNNNNNNNNNNNNNCGAUUGAUUCACACAGGACAACAACUGAUAGAUGGGCCGUAUGUAUUCUCAUCUCAAGUCAAACAAGUUUUUUACUCAAAAGAUCCAACUGAUGAGGGUUGGUACGUUAUACUCCGUAACAUCCCUAGAGACUUGUUUGACAUGGGCAGUGGAAGUAGAGAUAACAUCGACGAUAGAUCAGUAACUUUGCCCUUUCCAGAACAAAACUUAAACAAUAAUAUCCCUAGUACUAGUGCACAAUUUGGAUGGGUUCGUCAGGAUACCGAUGAAGAUAUUUACGAAUAAUGAUGUAGUAAGAUUUUACGAUUGUUUAAUUAUAUGUAAUAUCAUAAUUUAAAUCUUCGUCUUAUUAUAUAUUUCAACUAUUUUAUAUGUGCUGUUAUUGUUGUAAUUAGUUAUUAAGUUAUUAACUAUUUUAUGUGUAUUGUAGAUAAAAUGCCUAGAAGAAAAAUUCUAAGGGGAAGCAUUGUUCAAAAUGAUCCAAACUCGACAGCAACAAAUAGUACUGAACAACAGACAGCAGUUGGAUCUUCAAAUGUUCCGAUUACAGCUGAGGAUCCUACAGAAAUUCAAAGUAAUUUUACAUUUAAUUUACAUGUGUGUUUCUGUUAUAGUUGAUUUAUUUUUCAAAUUCUUAUAUUAUAAUAUACCAUUUGUAGCUGAAAAUGGUGGGACACGCAGAGGUCGAGGACGUACGCUACUUAGAGAGUUGUACGAGUUAGAUCCAGUCGAGCGUGUCAAAGUUGGACGAAACAGUUUUGGUCAGCCUGUUGGAUCAGAAGCUCGACUUUUAGCUGGAUACAUGGGCAUUUUAGCACGAAAUCCGAAUAUGUUGCCUAUAAACUACGAGUCAUGGCAUCAAAUGCCCGAUAGCAACAAAAACCAAGCCCUCGAUAAUAUUAAGGUAACAAAAUGUUAAUGUCAUCUAUAAUGCUUGGGAAAUAGUUUCAUUUAUAUUUACUUUAUUAACUUGUGUUUUUUGUUUUUUGUAGGCGAGGUUUGCUUUAGAGGUCUCAGAUGCUUAUGUAAAGAAGGCAUUGGGAAAAAGAUGGAGAGACAACAAAAGUACUUUGAAGAAAAAUUAUUAUAAGACAAAAACAACCCUCGAUGAGAAAUUGCAAAAUGUCCCACCGGGUAUGUUGAGGUACCAAUGGGAAGAUGCGGUUAGAUUUUGGCAUUCGAAUAAAGGCGAGGUCUGACGUACUUCUAAACUAUUGUAAUUAUUUUGGUUUAUAGUAUUUUCUAUUUACGUACUAAAAAAUUUCAUAACGUAGGAUCGUGAACAAGUUGGAAUAAGCAGCAGGCAGAAACAAAAAUUCACCCACACAGCCAGGUCGAGAAGUUUCGCAUGUGUAGCUGAGGCGGAGGUAUUUUUAAAUUUUUUAAUAUUGUCGAAUAUGUAUAACUUUCUAUUAAAUAAUAUUUAUACUACUAUAUUGUAGGAACGGUCGUCCGGUCAAAAAGUUGGACGCCUUCAACUUUUUAAAAUUACACAUAGGAAGAAAGAUGGAUCUCCCAUGACUCCUGAAGCUGCUGAAAUAAUGGUACGUUUACUUAAUACGAUUUGACUUAUUUUAGUUAUUUAUAGUGUUUAUUUUCUAAUGGUUUAAUUCAUUGCUUGUAAUGCGACUAUUGUUAUGUUGCAUAUGUUUUUCAAUAUAUAAUAUUGCGUUCCUAACUAUGUGAUAUAUUUAUUAGGAAAAACUAAAGGAUAAAAAGGCGGAGUACGAAGCAAUUGCUUCUAGUGAUAGUUCGGUUCAUCUUGAAGAUAUUGAUAACCGGAUUAUUACUGAAGUUUUGGGUCCUGAAAGGUAUGGUCGGGUUCGAUUUCAAGGAUCUUUUGUUAGCCCAACCCAAUAUUUUGGAUCCAGCUCCCACCAAUACAUGGCUUCGGGGAGUCAGACUCAAGCUGAAGUUCAGAGGUUAAAAGACCAGAUGGCUCAGAUGCAAGCGACUACAAUUGAGGUUCAAAGGAAAUAUGAAGAACUCCAGCUACAACUUAAAGCAGAGGCGGAAGCGAGGGAAGCAGCGGCUGUAGCGAGGGAAGCAGAGGCUGCAGCGAGAGAAGCAGAGCAGAACAAAAAGUACGACGAACUUUAGCAGCAGCUUCAGAUUAUGAUGAAGAUGUUUAAGUCGCAACUUCCGCCUUCAUAGUGUAUGACAUAAAUAUUUUUAUCAUUUUAACAUUUAACAUUUAACAUUUUUUGCAAAAAUAAUAUGAAUUCACUUUUAUUUAUUGAUAUUAAUAUUAUUUUAUUCCCUUAUGUUGAAAUAUUAUAUAAAUUUAUUGCUAUUGGUCUUUAGCGGCGUUUUUGUUUGUAAACGCUGCAAACGUUUGCGACGUUUUCGUUAGCGGCCUUUUUUGCGGCGCUUGAAGAAGCGCCGCAAAUAUCUUUAGUGGCGUUAAAAAGCGCCGCUAAAGGCCUAAAAAAACGCCGCUAAAAACCUGUUUUGGUGUAGUGAUUAAAGAUUCUUUGUACUUUUUCAUGGAUGAAAAGAAUGGACAUCAAAUUGCUUACGUACAAUAUCCUCAGCAUUUCAAUAAUCUCACCAAGAACGAUAUUUAUGGUAAUUCAUUUCGAGUUGCACGAAAGGUAACUAAGUUAAUUAAAUCCAAUGGUUUUAAUGAAAUUUGAUGAUGUCUUUUUGAUGACGAGUUGAGUAAGCUGCUUGACAAAUCCUGUAUUUGAUGGGGGUAUGAAAAAUGAAGUUGGAGUUUUCAGGACUCGACGCAAAUGGAGGACCAUGCUAUAUCGGCACGGACGAGAUGCUCUUUGCGGGAAGAAAUACGACAAAACCUGUAAGGUUGGUUGGAAGCGACUAAAUCGUAGAGAGGUUGAAGAAAACGCAACAGUUCUUGAAGGAACAUGUAAAGUUCUUGCAAGUUGUAGCUUUGAACAAAACACACAAUGGGGAAACGAGGUUUGCUACACACUACUAUUUGUGCAUAUGUCACACAAUCUGUGCCCAAACUCAUUUUUGGAAUCUAAUAUUUAUGUGCAGAUGGGGUUGAGAUAUGGGUGCCCAGCUGAGGAUAUAAUAACAGGAUUGAGCAUACAGUGCAGAGGCUGGAAAUCGAUUUACUUAAAUCCUGAAAGAGAAAGCUUCUUAGGCAUUGCUCCAACUUCACUAUUGACGAUGCUGGUGCAACAUAAGAGAUGGGCCGAAGGUCAUUUCCAGAUUUUCCUAUCAAGAUAUUGCUCCUUGUUGUAUGGACAUAAUCGGAUUCCUCUCAAACUUCAACUUGCUUACUGUGCGGGCAAUUUAUGGGCUGCAAAUUCCUUGCCUACGUUGUACUAUGUUGUUGUCCCUUGCUUUUGCCUGCUUAAAGACAUCCCCCUGUUUCCUAAGGUAUCAAGUCCAUGGGUCCUCCCAUUUGCAUAUGUUGCCAUUGCACACCGAGCAUAUAGCCUUGGAGAAUUCCUAUGGUGUGGGGGCACAUUCCAAGCUUGGUGCAACGAUCAAAGGAUGUGGCUGUUCAAGAGAACAACUUCAUACUUCUUCGCCUUAUGUGACACCAUCUUGAAGCUAUUAGGAUACUCAAAUCCAACCUUUGUCAUCACAGCAAAGGUUGCGGACGAAGACGUCUUGAGAAGAUAUGAGCAAGAGCUGAUGGAAUUUGGCGAUUCAUCACCGAUGUUCGUUGUUUUAGCAUCACUCGCAAUGUUGAAUCUGUUCAGUAGCUUUGGGGCAAUCAAGAAGCUCGUCUUCAAUGCUGAUCACAGUGAGGUUUGGGACCGAUUCGGAUUGCAAAUUCUCUUGUGUUUCCUUUUGGUUGCUCUCAACUGGCCUGUAUACAAGGCAGUGUUUUUUCGGAAAGACAACGGUGGAAUGCCCGCUCCAGUUACUUACAAGUCCAUUACUUUUGCCUUGUUAGUGUCUACAGUAGCAAUGUCAACUUGAUUAUAAUUGCGGUCAUGGAUGCAUUUUCAGUCGCAUUAUGCUGAUCAUAAUCAUAAUAGCUAAAAUUCACCCUAAAGUAACUGUUGUUAUAGUAUAUUUUGAACUGAAAUAAAAGAUUACUUCUUCUCCAAGAUAAACUUGUCAGCUAUAGAUUUCAUAGAAACAAAAUCUUAACAAUAAAAAUAAAAGAACAAAAGGGAAAAAAAUAUUAUAUACAUAUACAAUUUAAAUUUAUACGUAUAUAAUAAUUUAAAUAAAAAAUAGUGAAGGACUAAAUUGAAAAGAAAAUUUAAAUGUAUGCCAAAAGAGAAAUAUUACCCUAAACUUACAAAAGCAUGCCAAAAGUGCAAUUUUCCACACACAAGUCGGUUUACAUUAAUUUACUAUUAAUUGUUAUCAUUUAAAUUAUGGAUGAAUCUAGAGUUUCAGAAACUAAAUGGAAAGAUAAGAGGAAGAGAUAAUCGGUGAUGAUGUCAACAGUCAGGGAUUUGGAAAUGUAGUAUGGAAGCAAGGUCAAGCCAGAUUUUUUAUUUGUAUUUUUUUUUAAAAUUUACUGGAUUUUGAGAAUUAUUUAGAAUUUAUAUAAGGUUAAUUGCACUAAAACCCUAAACAAUGAUCCUCGAUCUCCAAACGUCGAGACAUUCUAAUUGCAUCUUAAACUAUCAAUAGUAUAUUUGUCUCCACGGCAGACCCAAGAUUAAAGCCACCAACGAUGGUGGUCAGCACAGUGUUAUCGGUCAUGGCUUAUGACUACCCACCUCAUAAGCUAAGCGUCUACUUAUCUGAUGAUGGUUGCUCCGAUUUGACAUUUUAUGCUUUAUUAGAAGCUUCAGGGUUUGCCCAGCUAUGGCUUCCGUUUUGCAGGAAGCUGAAAGUAGAGCCCACAUCUCCUGAGGCUUAUUUCCAGACCACUCCAGAACCAGUGGAUGAUGCAUUCAUGACCAAUGAGUGAUUAAUCUCUUAAACCUUAAACUCUAAACCUUAAUAGACAUAAUUAAAUUAAUUUUUUUUAAGAUGUUAAAAUAUAAUCUUUAUCAUAUGUUAAUUUAUGAUUUCAACCUUUUUUAAGAGAUUAAACAAAUUUUUUUAACUUUUGGAGAAUGAAAAUAUAAUUAUAUUAUAUGAACUUAUAUUUUUAUCAUAUAUAAUUAUUUAUCGUGAUGGCUUGAUGUUCACCGUUUCAAGUAUGGUUUGAGUUCGAAUUGUGUUUGUUGCAUUUUUUAUUUCGAGCUUUGUCAUGUUAUUGUAUUUCACUAAAAACAGUUUUAAUUAAAACAAGAAAAUAUUCAUUUUAAUCAAUGGGGAUGCUUAUGCCCUUUGGAUUCACCCUAGUGCAAUGAAUGUGUAUACUCACAUGUAUGGUAGUUGUCAGUGCAUAAUAAUGAUUACAUAAAAUAAAUGAAUUAAAUUUCUAGACGUUUCAAUUUUGUGUAAGAAUAGAUUUUUUUAUUUUAUUUUAUUUUGGUAUGAAUGAUAGAAAUCAUACGAAGACAUGAAGAGUCGGAUUGAAAGCAUCACAAGAUUGGGCAAAGUUCCAGCGCACAGACGCAAAGAGCACAAGGGAUUUGAUGAAUGGGAUUUUGUUCUUAGUCGACAUCAUCAUCCAUCCAUUCUUCAAGUAAUUUGCUACAAUUUUUUUUUUAUUCUUUUGGAUCGCAAACUUUAUAACUACAUUUAACUCCUACCUCAUAAUUGCUUCAAAUUGUGCAUUUAAAAACUUAAUUGUAGAUCUUGAUUGAUGGAAGAGACCCUAACACCAUUGAUAUUGAAGGAAAAGCUUUGCCAACCCUUGUAUAUUUGGCACGUGAAAAGAGACCUCAUAUCCACCACAAUUUCAAAGAUGGCGCCUUAAAUGCAUUAGUAAUUAAGCAUUCUAUAUUUAUACUUUUCUUCCAAUAUUUGUCUUUGAUACACAUUCAAAUAUGAGUUAGUAGAACACUGUCCAUAAAUUAGAGUGGAGAAGGGAUUGUAUGAAACUGUAAUUUCACGUCAUCUCUAUUCUUUUCAUUGGAGAAUGACAAAUCAUAUUUUUCUUCCUGAUUUUUAGCAUUUUUAGUUAAAUUUGAAAUUUUUAAGAAAUCACAUAUUGAUACAAUCCUUUCUCGUUGGAGCAUGAUUGGAAAAUUUUAUAUUUCUUUACUCAAAUUUAGGUUAGCCCUAGCAUACUUCUUAUUUCAAAAUCUAAAUAAAAAUGUUUUUUUAUUAAUAAAUAGUGACACAAGUGAGGUUUUGUUGGCUUGGAUCAUAUUUUAUUUAUAUAAAGUCGAUCUGGAUGAAUAACCAAAUCUUUGAAUAGAUCUAAGUUGGAGAUAUGUUUAUAUUUAAUUUUCACCCUAAGUUUAAAUAAUAUAUAUUUAUAUAUAAAUACUUUGUUGAAUUAAAUGACUAUUUUAUAUCUCUUGAAUGUGUAUAUAUAUAUUGAAAGCAUUAACUCUUGAAUAUGUGAAUGAACAGAUAAGGGUAUAUUCAAGAAUAAACAAUACACCAUUUAUCCUUAAUGUAGAUUGCGAUAUGUAUUCAAAUAAUUCCAAAGCAAUUAGGGAUGCACAUUGCUUCUUUUUGGAUGAAGGAAAUGGACAUGAAAUUGCUUAUGUCCAAAUAUCCACAGGCCUUUGAUAACCUCACUGAAAAUGAAAUUGAAAUUUAUGGUUCCUUGAGAGUUCUAAUGAAGGUGAGCAUCAAAUACCAACAAAAUUUUCCAACAUUUCAUAUUCUUUUUGAUACACAAAAUUUCAUAUCUUUUUACAUUCAAGCUCAAAUUUGUUAAAUGGCAUCACACCUGUUAAAAGAGGUUGUGUAAAUCAACCAGCCUAAGCCUUGGAUUCUUCAAAGUUACUAUUUCUUUUUUCCUUUUUGGUAUGAAAGAGUUUGUAGUGUAAGAAUAGAAAGGAUUGUGCAUGCUAGAAUUGGAAUCCCAGACAUACUAAAUACAACCUUUCAAAGAUGGUUGUAUAACCGAAUUAAACUGAUCAGGGUUCAAUCUUAAAUGUUUCAAUAUCAUGAUUAAAGUUAGAUAUCGAGUUCUUGGGUUAUACCAUAUUUGUAUGUCAUCUUUGUCCACCGAGUUCACAGUCUUGUGGAAUAUGUAUGGUUGGGAGGCACAGUCCGAGGUUGGUUGAAUGAACAGAGGAUGUGGAUGUUCAAAAGAACAACUUCCUACUUCUUUGCCGCCAUUGACCACAUCCUCAAACUUUUUGGGUUUUCGAAGUCGGCCUUUGCCAUCACCGGAAAAGUGGCUGACGAUAAUGUACACCGGAGAGAUGAGCAAGAAAUCAUGGUGUUCAGGACUUGGUCACCAAUGUUCACGGUUUUAGCUGCGCUCGCACUUUUCAAUCUGCUCGGACUCAUUGCGGUAGUAAAAACAAUGUUGCCAUUGAUGAUGCUCGUAUGAAGAUUUUUGACAUAUUCGGUUUUCAGAUACUUCUUUGCUACGUUUUGGUUUUCACCAACCUACCGAUUUACCAAGGGAUGUUCUUCCGAAAAGAUAGCGGUAAGAUCCCAGCAUCUGUAACACUUCAAUCCGUUGCUUUCGCUCUCUUGGCUUCCACAUUAGCCAUUUACUAGUGUCACAGUCAGCGUGUGAUCGACCGAGCCCCAGACUCGCACAGCAGAUUUAAGAUCGGAUUGGAAAUUUCAGAGCCUGUAACACUAGGUUUGUAUUUAAAGAAAUAAGGUCAAAAUUAGUCUCAUGUAUAUGUAAUUUUCCUUAUCUUUUUAUCUUAACUUAUAAACUUCUCAAACUUCUAUUUGAAAACUUGGACUGAUCAUAAAAUUAAAAUACACAUGGAAAAGGUUUUAUUUGUGGUACUGCUAUAUUUUAUGUUUUAUUUAAAUAAAUUAUCAACUUAUCAUUCAAAUGCGUGAUUGAAUUGAUAUCACGAGUCAAUUAAGAAAGUUAUUAAAAUAAUUUUACAUAUUUUAAAUAAGUUUUAUUAAAAUUUUCUUUAUCUCUUCAACGAAAAUUUUAUUUCAAUAUUCUCAUUCUCAACUGAAAUGCAUUUAAUAUUCUUAAUAUAAUGUACUUAUAUAUUUAAAUUUCCUUUUACUCACAAUUAAAACUAUUUUUUAUCUUCCAUUUCAUUAUUUAUUGUAUGUUAUUUCUAAAUACAAGUCUAAAAAAAUGCGUUUGAUGAUAUUUGAACCCAAAACAACAUAAUUUAAUAUUUAAAUCAAUUUUUUAUAAAUAUAUUUGUUACAUAAAUUUUUUUCGCCAAUGUACCAUAAUCUAGUAUUCAUAAUGUCAAUAAUUGAGUUGGUGUUAUUCUUAAUCUGAUAUAUUUAUCUAUUUAAAUUUCUUUUAUUUUAUUUUAAAUAAUUUUGAAUAAAAGUUAAAGAUAAUAAGUUGAAUAUUUUAAUUUUUAAUAAAAUGAGAAAAUAGUUUAAUUCAAAAAUAAAAUUUAGAAAAGUAAAAUCAACUUAAAUAAUUUCAACAUUAAGUGAUAAGUAACUAUCUACUUGCUUAUCAUAUUCAACAUUUUUUUUAUUGAAACUUUUAUUUUAUGUAAAAAGUUAAUACGAUUAUUGUUGACACCAUUUUUUUGAUUGAAAACGGGGUCGACUUGGGUUUUAAAAAUGAAAACGGGAGUCGCCACCAAUCCUUUUUAAUGAGGUGUGAUUGGAUCACCUCGAAAAGUGGUUGUUUUUAAUAAACGGUUUGAUUUUAUUAAAACAACGAUUUUGGUCCACGAAAUUCAGAAAACGGGUUCGGGAGUCGAUUACGUACGACGAAGGAUUAGCACCCUCGUAACGCCCAAAAUUGGUACCUAGUUGAUUAUUUAAUGUCUUAAUGUCGAAAAUUGAUAACUUUGAAGAAUUUUAAAAAAUACGAUCCUUUGUCUUAAAAUGACUUGUAUAAAAUAGGUUGCUUGUAAAAAAAAAAAAACUCCUACGAUAAAAAUUAAAAAAGGAUAUUCAAUUAUUCGAGUCAGAUGAGGAAAUCGCAACCCAAUACGUUAGGGCACCAUUUCUCAACAUUCCGAACAUUGAAUAUUGCCUUGGCUGUUUUUAAGAAAAUCCUCAUCUCGAAAAAACAACGUGUCACAUCCAAUGCGUUAGGACACGACAUAUUGAAUUCUCAAUAAUGAGCUUUUAUUUAUUUAUUUUAAAAAAAGUAACCUCGAUUAUUUAGAUUCAACAAAGAAAAUCGGAACCCAAUACGUUAGGGCUCGAUUCUCUCGAAGAUCCCAAAUACCGAGUGUUACUUUUAUUUUGAAAUUUUCGUUUUUGAUAAAUUCGAGUAAAAUGGAUGUAAAAUAAUGAUAAUGAUGUCAAUGUAAAUAAAAUGAUACAAGCAAAACAAUAAAUAAUAAAAACAAUCAUACGGGCAAGGUAACAAAUAAUUAAGAACUAAAGUAAGAAAACAAACAAUAAUAAACAUGCAAAUAAAUGAACAAAAUUAACAACAUGAUGCAAAUAUAAAAAUAUAUAAACACACACACAUAUAUAUAUAUAUAAAUAAAACAAUGAGAAUAUGAAAAACAUGUGUAUGUGUACAUAUUUCGGAAUUAUUGUACAUUAAAAAUUAUGUAAGUGUAUGUACAUACAUAUAUACAUAUAUAAUAAUCAUUAAAUAUAUAAAAGUAUAUAUGUGUAAGUAUAUGUUAGUCAUAAAAUGUAAAGAAUAUAUACAAGUUAUAUUUUGAAAGUAUAAAGUAUAUGUAAGUGUAUAUAUAUAUAUUUAUGAAAAUGAAGUAUAGACAUGUAUAGAGGUAUAUAUAAAUAAAAUAUAGAAACAAAUAUGUGUAUGCAUAUACAUAAAAUAUACAUAGGUAUAUGUACAUAUAUUAUGAAAAUAAAGCUAAAAUAAUAAUAAAUAAAUAAAAAUUAGUUAAGGCAUUAAUAAGAUUGUAAUGACUAAAUAAAUGGGAAAUAAAACCAAUAACAAUGAAUAACAAUAACGAUAAUAACAUUAAAAUAAUGAACACAGUCAUAAAUUACUAAAAGGGACUAAAUUAAAGUAAAAGCAAAAAUACUGGGCAAAUUCAAAAUAAAAGGGACUAAAUUACAAAGCGCGCCAAAAGGGAAGGGAUCAAAUGGACAAAUAACCCGACCGCCUCAAAACGCAGCGCAGCAGUGGGCCGGAUUGAAAUAAAAUUAAAAUUAUAGGGCUAGAUUAAAAAUAAAAGGAAAUAGCGAAAAGGACCGAAUUGCAAUGCGCUUUAAUAUUGGAGGGACUGCGCGCAUAAAUAACCCAUUUGGCGAAAACACGCGGAUCCUCCCCUGGGUCGGGUCAACGCGCGGGUUAUGGGGUAAAACGACGUCGUUUUGGGGCCAGAUGAAACAAGCCAAAACGGCGUCGUUUCCAGGCGCUAUAAAAACAAAUUUUUUUUCAGAUUUCUCAUUUUCUUCACUUUUCUUAAAAAAGAAACUCAAAAACUCUCUCAAGCCCUUCUGGGCAAUCCGAUUUUUGACCUUAGGUCCGGCCGUCGACCACCGCGCUAGUGACCGGUCGCCGGUGAUGGCGCCGCCGUCCGCGGUGGCCGGAAAAUUAAAAAAAAACCCACUUUGUCCCCUUUUCCAAGUAAGGUUCGUAUUCGAGGCUAGAAAAGCCGAAAUCCCAGCGAAAAGAGACCAAAAAUGGAAGAGACCCUUUGGUUCUUCCUCCUCUCCUCCGCCGAAAUCAGGUAAAACUCUCCUUUUUAUUUUUAUUUUAUAUAUUAUUAUGUAUAUUGAUUAAAUGAAAAAUGAGAAGAGAAAGAAACAAUGUAGAAAACUGAAAUAAAACAAAAAUAAGAAAAAAGAAGUCGGAAAAAUCAAAGUAAAUCACCUUAAAAAACAUUUUUAUUUCUUCCAAUUUGUUUUUCCCCAAAAGCCCCUUACAAUGUUGAUAUUCGGCUAUUUAUAGCCCAUUACAUUCAUUUUUUUACAAUUUUCCUACUGUUAUUGUACUUGCUGUUGCGUAUGCACUUCCUUGCAGGUGCCAGAGGAGUCGGUGGUGGUGGUUACGGCGGUAGCAGGGGGCAGGUAAGGAUGUUGGUGGCUGCAACGUUAGGCUAGGGUUUCAGUUCUGAAACCCUAGUUUGACUAAUCUUCUUGGGUCAGAUUUGGGGUUUGGGCUGGAUAUUGGGUUUGAGGUAUUGGGUUAGGCUAGUUGGGUUUAAUUGUUUUUGUUUUGAUUGUUGGGUUCGAGCAAAUGGGCUUGUACAGCUGCCCCUCUUUGCUCGUUGUCGUGUAACGAGAACAGAGCAAAGACUAAGAAAGACCAAUUUGUCCGGUCUCGCUGAGUCUUGAUUUCUCUUGGCGCUUCUCUUCAAGUAGUCUCAUUCCAAUCCACUGUGUCUUGUCACUUCAAUCUACUCCAUUGUACUUCAGGGGGAUCUGACUUGUAGCUUCAAUCCACUCCAUUGUUACUUCUUUAGGGAGACGAGAUUUGUGGUUUUAUUUUAUUCCACUGCAACGUCAGGGGGUAAGACCUGCUGUUGUAGCUUCAAUAUUUUUAAUUGCAAUGUCAGGAAAGUAAGAUCCGCUGUUGUAGCUUCAAUCUGUUCCACUGCAACGCUAGGAAAGUAAGAUCCGCUGUUGUAGCUUUAAUCUUCUUAACUGCAAUGUCAGGGAAGUAAGAUCCGCUGUUGUAGCUUUAAUCUUCUUAAUUGCAAUGUCAGGGAAGUAAGAUCCGCUGUUGUAGCUUCAAUUUGUUCCACUACACCGCUUGGAAAUAAGAUUCGCCGUUGUGGCCUCAAUGUUUUGAUUGCAAUGUCAGGGAAGUGAGAUCCGCUGUUGUAGCUUCUUUCUGUUCCACUGCAAAGCUAAGAGAGUAAGAUCCGCUGUUGUAGCUUCAAUCUUCUUAAUUGCAAUGUCAGGGAAGUAAGAUCCGCUGUUGUAGCUUCAAUCUGUUCCACUGCAACGCUAGGAAAGUAAGAUCCGCUGUUGUAGCUUCAAUCUUCUUAAUUGCAAUGUCAGGGAAGUAAGAUCCGCUGUUGUAGCUUCAAUUUGUUCCACUUCACCGCUUGGAAAGUAAGAUCUGCUGUUGUAGCUUCAAUCUUCUUAAUUGCAAUGUCAGGGAAGUAAGAUCCGCUGUUGUAGCUUCAAUCUGUUCCACUGCAGCGCUAGGAAAGUAAGAUCCGCUGUUGUAGCUUCAAUCUUCUUAAUUGCAAUGUCAGGGAAGUAAGAUCUGCUGUUGUAGCUUCAAUCUGUUCCACUGCACCACCUGGAAAGUAAGAUCUGCUGUUGUAGCUUCAAUCUUCUUAAUUGCAAUGCCAGGAAAGUAAGAUCCGCUGUUGUAGCUUCAAUCUGUUCCACUGCAACGCUAGGAAAGUAAGAUCCACUGUUGUAGCUUCAAUCUUCUUAAUUACAAACUAUGGUUUCUUCGAUCUGCUUCGCUGUCAGUACAGGAAAACAAGGCUGGUGUCUUCGAUCUGCUUCACUGCCGGUACAGGAAGGCAUGAUCUGCUAUCUUCAUUGAUCUAAUCUCUGGUGAACCUGACAUUUAUGUUCUAUUUUAUGGACCUAAUUGUGCCUAGUGAUUAGGAUGGCAUGAUCAGAAUGAAUCAACUGCUCCUAACUAGAUACGUAUGAAUGACAUUUGAAUGAAUGCAUGAUGUCAUGAAGAUGAUUCCUUAAUGUUUGAGUUGUUAUUGCUCAUUGUUUUAUCACUGACGUAUUACAACGCCUUCUUGCUUAGCUAGCAUAUCCAAAGAAACAAUUAAUCUGAUUGGCCCUCCAUUGUGAGCCUCCAAAUGCAAUCCACUGGAUGCAAAAUUUGAACCAUCUUUCUCCCACUGUAACCCAAGGAUAGAAAGACCUGACCUUUUCUCGAUCCUCUUUUAUCAUAAUUCAAUGAUACAGAAUGUGAAAACUCUUUGGUCUCCAUUCCUAGGGUAUCAUACCAAAAUGCACAAUUGUAAAAUUUUCUCUAAGAAAACCUCUUCUCAUCACUUGGUAAUUAUUGAAACUAUGUCACCAAUAUGACACCUUGCCAUUUUGUUUAAUCCAUGUUUGGACAACAAAAUUUGAAAGGAUAGCCCUGACUUAAAUUUUUCCUUUUAAAAUUGGCGUGUUCUAAACAACAGUCCUGUUUCAGGUUCCUUCAUUAUUUAGAAGUUUCUAGAGUAAUAUGCAAAACUCCUUUUACUUGAACAUUUAGUCUAUUAGUUGUUAUUUCAAAUGUUUGAAAAAGAUUAUCGUAAUGGACAAACAAAAUGUUAUUGGGAACAAAUCUCGAAAUGAAUAAGUUAAUCAAGAUAGCAAAUUUUGCUAAGAUAAAAUGAGAAAAGACGAUGGACAAGAUGGAAUUUUAUUAGGAGCAAAGCUUGAGAUGAAUACAUUAAUCGAGAUAACAAAUGUUUGCCAAGAUUCAAAAUGAAUAAGAUGACGGCAGGUGCCCAAGAUAUCGCAGCACGAGUUUCCCUGCAUAAGCUUUCUGAAAACCAUUCUGAAUUUGAUAUGUGUUUAGGGAAUCUGCAAGGUUUUGUCGAUACCCCAAGAUGUCGUCUACCCUUUCCUUGUUGAUUCAGGUAUAUCGAGACCACCACAUGCCCCAGAUCAAAAUUUGAGCUGCUCCGGUCACCUCAUAUCUUCUCAAAAUUUGAGCCGCCUUUUCAGGUUUUCAACUCAAAUCCCCUUUGGUCUCAAGGCGCCCUUUACGGGUUUUCACCUCGGCCUCUCCUUCUUUUUUUUUUUGAAUGCCCUUUACGAGUUUUCACUUUGGUCCUUCUCCUUCAAGUGAAGUAUUUCUUGACUGAAUCUAAGUUCACAGGAUUUGGCAAGUUUUUACCAUCCAUCUCGCUCAAGAUCAGAGCUCCUCUAGAAAAGGCCUUCUUUACAACAUAAGGACCUUCCUAAUUUGGCAUCCAUUUUCCUCUAAAAUCUUUUUGUAGAGGAAGAAUCUUUUUCAACACUAGAUCCCCCUCGUGAAAUUCUCUGGGACGAACCUUUUUGUUAUAGGCUCGCAUCAUUCAUUUUUGAUACAUCUGACCGUGACGAAUAGCUUUUAGUCUCUUUUCUUCUAUCAAGUUCAGCUGAUCAUAUCGAGAUUGAACCCAUUCGACCUCAUCUAACCUUAGUUCAGUUAAUACCCGGAGAGAAGAGAUUUCAACUUCUAUGGGUAAAACUGCCUCCAUCCCGUAGACUAAAGAAAACGGUGUUGCCCCAGUAGAAGUCCUAACAGAGGUACGAUACGCCAAGAGAGCGAAAGGUAGUUUCUCGUGCCAGUCUUUGUAGGUUUCAGUCAUUUUCCCUACAAUCUUCUUGAUAUUUUUGUUUGCUGCUUCCACGGCCCCAUUCAUUUUUGGGCGGUAUGGUGAUGAAUUAUGGUGUCUGAUCUUGAACUGACUACAAACUUCCGCUAUUAAGUUGUUGUUCAAGUUCAGCGCAUUGUCAGAUAUGAUCCUUUCUGGCAUCCCGUACCGACAUAUAAUCUCCUUUUUUAAGAAUUUACUGACUGCUGACUUUGUAACGUUAGCAUAUGAAGCAGCCUCCACCCACUUAGUGAAAUAAUCAAUAACCACAAAGAUAAAACGAUGCCCAUUAGAAGCCUUUGGAGAUAUUGGCCCGAUGACAUCUAUUCCCCACAUGGAAAACGGCCAUGGAGAAACCAUUACGUGGAGGGGUGAAGGUGGUGCAUGCAUUUUGUCACCAUAAAUUUGGCAUUUAUGACACUUUUUGGUGUAACUAAUGCAAUCCCCUUCCAUGGUGGACCAAUAGUACCCAAAUCUCAUAAUUUGUCUGGCCAUCGUGAAGCCGUUGGCAUGCGUUCCGCAGAUACCGUCAUGCACUUCUUCCAAAAUUUCUUUUGCCUCGACAGCAUCCACACACCUCAACAAUACUUGAUCUUUUCCCUUUUUAUACAAAAUUUCCCCAUCUAGGACAUAGUCAAUGGCUAAUCUCCUUAAUGUCUUCUUAUCAUUUUCUGUCGCAUGGUCAGGGUACUCACGACUCUUCACAUAUCGCAAUAUGUCAUGGUACCAAGGGUGAUCAUCCUUUUCCUCUUCAUUGUCAAUGUUGCAACAAUGGGCUGGAGCCUCAUAGAUGCUGAUCUGGAUAGGCUUCAUAUCUUCUAAUUUGUUCACUUUAAACAUGGAGGCUAAAGUGGCCAAAGCAUCUGCUAUCUGGUUUUCAUCUCGUGGGAUGUAACUAAAGGUGACAUUAUCAAAUUCCUCAAUCAACUCCAUAACCAAUUUUCGAUAGCGGACCAACUUCGGGUCUCUUGUUUCCCAUUCCCCUUUGAGUUGGUAAAUUACUAAUGCAAAGUCCCCGUAUACCUCUAGCACCUUAACUUUCCGCUCUAUGGCUGCCCGGAUGCCCAUAAUGCAAGCUUCACACUCAGCCAUGUUAUUUGUGCAGUCAAAGUCCAAUUUGCUAGUGAAAGGAUAAUAAUCUCCACUAGGAGACACGAGUAUUGCCCCAAUUCUGUUGCCUAUAGCAUUUGAAGCUCCGUCAAAACUCAACUUCCAAGGACCACCUUCUUGGAAAUCUUUCUCUACAGUUGCAAUAUACAUCAAAUCCUCAUUUGGGAAAUCGAAGUUCAAUGGCUCAUAAUCAUCCAGAGCCCUACUUGUUAGGAAUUCCGCUAUUGCACUCCCUUUGACCACCUUCUGGUUCACAUAGACUAUGUCAAAUUCAGAUAGAAGAAUUUGCCAUCGGGCCAUUCUUCCAUUCAGAGCGGUUGACUCCAUCAAGUAUUUCAGAUGGUCCAAUUUGGAGAUUAACCAGGUCGUAUGGUACAACAUGUACUGUCUCAGUCUCUGAGUUGUCCAGAUUAGGGCACAUCAUAAUUUCUCGAUUGGUGAAUAUCUUGUUUCGCAUUCGGUGAACUUCUUACUGAGAUAGUAAAUUGCUCUUUCCUUUCGUCCUGAUUUAUCAUGUUGACCAAGCACGUAUCCCAUGGAAUUUUCAAACACUGCCAAAUACAGUAUGAGCGGUUUGUCUGGGUAGGGUGGAAUCAGCACUGGGGCGUUGGACAAGUAAUACUUAAUCUUGUCAAAAGCUUUUUGGCACUCCUCAUCCCAUACUCCCGGAUUAUGUUUCUUAAGGAGACGAAAGAUGGGGUCGCAUUUCUCCGUUAACUGUGAAAUGAACCUGGCAAUAUAGUUCAAUCUUCCUAGGAUACCUCGAACUUCAUUCUGAGUACACGGCGGAAGCAAUUCUUAUAUGGCCUUGACUUUAUCUGGGUCAAUCUCAAUCCCUCUUUCACUGACUACAAACCCUAGCAACUUUCCCGAUCUAGCUCCGAAAGUACAUUUGGCUGGGUUAAGCUUUAGUUGGAACUUUCUUAACCGUAUAUAGAGUUUUCUUAAGACUUGUACAUGCUCCUCAUCUGUUCUAGAUUUUGCAAUUAUGUCAUCCACAUAGAUUUCUAUUUCUCAAUGCAUUAUAUCAUGGAAAAGGGCCACCAUGGCUCUUUGGUAUGUAGCUCCCGCAUUUUUCAAUCCAAAUGGCAUCAUUUUAUAGCAGAAAGUUCCCCAUAGGGUUAUGAAUGUAGUUUUCUUUAUAUCAUCAGGAUGCAGCUUAAUUUGGUUAUAUCCCGAGAAGCCAUCCAUAAAAGAAAACAGUGAGUGUCCCACCGUGUUAUCUACCAGAGUGUCGAUAUGAGGCAAGGGAAAAUUAUCCUUUGGGCUAGCUUUAUUUAAGUCUCUGUAAUCUACACACAUUCGUACCUUUCCAUCUUUCUUAAGGACGGGUACGAUGUUGGCUACCCACUCAGAAUAUUUGACCACUUGCAGGAAUCCAGCAUCGAAUUGCUUUUGCACCUCCUCUUUUAUUUUCAAUACAACAUCAAGCCUUAUUCUUCGGAGUUUUUGCUGAACCGGCUUGUAAUCUUCCUUUAUAGGAAGAUGGUGAACUACAAUAUCCGUAUUUAAGCCAGGCAUAUCCUGAUACGACCAUGCGAAGACAUCUUUGAACUCUCGAAGCAAUUCAAUGAGGUUUUGUUUUACUUUUUCAGUUAUGCAUGUGCCAAUCUUCACCACCUUUCCCUCUUCCAGGAUCACCGUCUCUAUCGUCUCUUCGUGAGGUAGGAUUUGUUUACCUUCCUGCUCUACCAUCCUCAACAAGUCCGGAGAUAGGUUGCAAUCUAUGUUAUCUUCAAAAUCUUGAGAUUCCUCUAAACACAUCUCUCGUUCAAAAGGGUUCUCUAAGUUCAUAGUAGAGUCAUUCAUGUCAUCGAUAUCUUGGAACCUGUUAUAAGUACCAAAGAAUGUACAAGGAAUGUAUGAAUUUAAGGAUUUUUAUUUAGUAUGGCCAUGAAUGAAAGAAUGAUUUGGAAUAUAAGCAUCCAAGAUGACUAUUCGAAAGAAUGAAAAGAAUUUUAAAAGAAUAUAUACUCAAAAAAGAAAAUGCGAAGAUAUAUUUCAUUGAAGUUAUAAUGUUCAAAUAUAAGCUCAUUUCAGUUCACAAAAGGUUUUCAUUUUCUCUAGGCUUAGAACAAUUAGUAUGUUUUGAAUAUUACUCUAGAAAAGCUCUAAAAACUUCAGGCAUUUCCUCUGCAGUCCAAUUGUUUAAAACACUCCCAGGUUCAAAGGGAUAGAUGCCUGAUGUACUUCCUUCUUCAAAUUCUUCUUCAAAUAUGGCAUUGAUGUUCAGGUUUCCUAACAUUUCCUCUGUGGUCUUCCUUCUUGGAUUCCUCAGACUAGAAUACAUGGUUCCUCCCGAUACGAAGGUCCUAGAUAUGUGGGGGAAAGCCAUAGGUUCCCAAUCAACUUCUUCUCUGUUCAAAUGCGCCUUCCUCCUCUCUUGUCUUUUCUCUAACUCUUUCCUUCUUUGCCUAGCAUUUGGUUUAAAUCCUAAACCAAAGCGGUCCUGUUUGUCUUUCACCAUUGGUGCCUCUAUUCUUCCUUGAAGGCAUCUUCCCAGUCCUCUUCCAAGCACAGCUCCUUUCCCAACUGUCAUUUGUAAUCCCACCUUCGUGGCUCUAGACACGCUGAGCAUUGGGAUCCUCUUUCCCUCAAUAACAUAGGUCGCAUUUACGAACUCUAAGGAUCGAAAGGAACAUUCGAUCACCUCAUCAUCUGUUCCCAAAUAUGGUGCGUCACUGGUUACUGAUGCAAUAAUGUCUUCCUCAGCGUCGAUCGUAACUAACCGGCCUUCUGUCACUAAUUUUAACUUCUGGUGCAAUGAUGAAGGCACCGCCUCUGCUGAAUGAAUCCAUGGUGUUUCCAGCAAGCAAUUAUACGAAGGCUUGAUAUCCAUCACUAAGAAAUCUACUUCGUAUGUAUUCGGGCCAAUCAAUAGGGGUAUUUCUAUUCUUCUCAUCACCUUUCUUUUGGUACCAUCAAAUGCUCUCACUAUAUUCUGGCAUGAUUUCAUGUGGGAACUAUCUACCGGUAACCUAUUUAAAGUAGAUAGGGGUAAAACAUUCAAGGCUGAUCCAUUAUCAAUUAGCACUCCCGCUAACGUAUACUCCCCGCAGCGAGCAGUGAUAUGUAAUGCUUUGGUGGCUCCUCUUCCCCCCGGCGGUAUUUCAUCAUCAUUAAAGAAAAUAAAAUUGUCGGCACUGAUAUUGUUAACCAAACGGUCUAACUUAUUCACUGAGAUAUCGCUAGUGACAUAAGUUUCAUUUAGCACAUUAAUCAACGCAUUACGAUGUACCUCUGAACUUAAAAGCAAUUCAAGCACCGAGAUACGAGUCGGUUGCUUAUGUAAUUGUUCUACCACGCUGUACUCGCUAUGUUUUAAGAAUUUUAGAAAUUCUUUAGCCUCAUUUUCAGUUACCGGCUGAUUGACACGCGGCUCAAUUUUGUCUGCUUUUGCUUUUCCCAAUUCAACCGCUAAGGCUUUUCCUUUUCCAGAUUCCACUCUUGCGUUUGCCGGAUCAUAGCGUUUUCCACUUCGUGUAUAGAAUCCUUCAUCCUCUCCUGAAGCAUUUACCAAGCUUUCUUCUCCUGGGAUUGUUACAUUGCAGUCGUAAUUCCAAUGAACCUUUUUGCUAUCCUUGUAGGGAGAGGAUACAGGUUUCUGGAUUAUGACCUUUGGUGCUAUUUGUAUUCCAGAUUCUCUGCUCAUUGGUUUUGAAAUAAUCACCACCGGGUGAUUAGCCUUUUGGGCUUUCCCCGUAGAUCCUUCUUCUGUAACAUAAACCUCUCCUUCUUCUAGUCCCUUAAUCUCUUCAUAAAACUCCAACUCUUUGUUAUCCAUUAAGUUUUGCACCAUGGUUCUGAACUCGGUGCAUUCUUGGAUGUCAUGGCUUUCUCCUGCAUGGAACUCACAAAACUUCCUUACUCCUUCAGGCUUUUCUAUUGAACCUUGCUUGAUGAGACCUCUUUUCAUCAUUUGUUUCCAAACCCAUUCAAGGAGGGUCUUUAUCUCUGCUAUGUUGGCUUUGACUCUCCUUCCUCCAUACUCAAUUAUCACAUUCACCCUUUUAUUAUCAUGGUUGGGCAACAGAUUCUCUACUACAUUCGGUCCUGAUGAGUCGCCAAUCUUUACGAUCCCCAAAUUGAUAAGUUUUUCAACUAACUUCUUGAAUGCAGUGCAGUUCUCAAUCGAGUGCCCCUUAGUCCCCGCGUGAUACUCGCAUUGGGCGUUUGCAUCAUACUACUUAGGGUAUGGAGGUUGCAUUGGUUUCAGGUAAAAUGGAGACACCACAUGUGCAUCGAAUAAGUUCUGGUACAAUUCCCUAUACGUCACUGGGAUGGGUGUGAAUUGAGGUCUCUCUACAUUCGACCUUUGAUUAGAUUCAUGUUUCGAAGAACCUUGCUGAUUAGCGGUUACUGCUCUGGCUUGCCCCACCGUGAUUGAUUUAGAAUGGUCCCUGUUAAACACACUUGCAUUGUUUAUCUCAUGCUCUUUUUUUCUUAGUGCUGACCUUUUAGUACUUUCUCCCGCUUCUAUCUUGCCGCAUCUUAUGGCAUUCUCUAUCAUUUCUCCAGACAUCACUAUGUCUGAAAAGAUUUUAGUGGCACUGCCCAACAUGUGACUGAGAAAUGGAGCCUUUAGAGUAUUGAUAAAAAGCAUAGUUAUCUCUUUCUCUAAAAGCGGUGGUUGAACUUGCGCAGCCACUUCCCUCCAUCUCUGAGCAUAUUACCGGAAACUCUCAUUAGGCUUCUUUUCCAUGUUUUGCAAUACAAUUCGAUCGGGUGCUAUAUCCAUCACGUGUCUAUACUGCUUCAUAAAGGCUUGCGCCAAAUCCUUCUAUGAAUAAAUAUUGGCCCGACUUAAUUGGUUGUACCAUCUAGCCGCUGACCCGAUCAAACUGUCCUGGAAGCAAUGAAUCAGCAAUGGGUCAUUGUUGAUGUAUCCUGUCAUCGUCCUACAAAACAUAGUAAUAUGGGCUUCGGGGCAAUUGGUCCCGUUGUACUUCUCAAAAUCUGGCAUUUUAAAUUUGGGAGGGAGCACCAGAUUAGGUACCAGACUCAAAUCUUUAGCAUCCAUUCCUCGAUGGUAAUCGGUAUUUUCCAGGGCUUGAAACUUCUCCUCUAACCAUUUACAUUGGUCUUCUAAUUGUUUUGGCAGGUCUACUAUUAUCUUAUUUAUUUCUCCUGUGUCGUCGAGAUCCGAAACCACGGGAUUAAUAGGAUUAUCCCCGGGAUUAGAACCCGAACCUGUUGGGAAGUUCAUCAAUGCUGGGGCACCAACUUGGUAUUGGGAUCUAAUGGUGACAGGUACCCUCUGUGGGUACAUCCCUGGUUGCGUCUGGACAUUAGUUGGGGCGAAACCUGGAGGGUAGGCAGGGUCUUCGUGAUCAUCCCCAGAAUUUAUCGCGGGGCUCUUCCCCUUAUCGUGCCCCCCAGCCGUUAACUGUUUUAAUUGAUUCAAUAAUUCUCUUUGGGAUGCUUCCAUAUCUUGCUGCAGUUUGGCUAGUUUUUCUUGCAUCUGAGCUUGUAUCUGUUCUUGCAAUUGCUCUAAUUUCUCUAGUCUUUGAUCUAUUUCUUUGGUUCUCCGGCGAGUACCGUAAUGAUAUCUAGUUGACAGAUUUUCGUUGAUUUCCAAGGUAACUGUCAUUAAUUAGAGCUCUUUAUUAUUAUUAUUAUUUGGAACUUUAAUGCAUAUGAUAAAAAUGCAAUGCAAAUGAAUGAAUACAAAGAAAAGGCAUUGAUUCUAAUUCAAUUUCAUUAGAAAAACUUGACUAGAAAACAAAUUUCUUUACAUAAAGUGGAUUACAUAUACGGCUUUGCCUUUAUGCUCAAAGCCUUAACCCUCUUAAGGAGCCAAGCUAACUCUCGACCCCGACUUGACUCUGACUCAUAUUUCAAACUAAGUAUAUCAGCCUGAACCGCUAAGGUUUGCAGAUGGUCAGCCACUUCCCGCACUUGAGUCACAGCUUCAUCCAUAACGUAAUCUCUAUCUCUAAUCUAACUUUGAAGAUGAUGGAGCUGCUCUUGGUACUGUUCAUUACGUCUUUCAAGAAGUUCUACUCGUAAUUCAGAAUUUCGCAAUGCGUCUUCAAGUUCUUCUAUCUUUUUCUUCAAUUCUUCAAUUUUGCUCAAACUUACUCUCAGCUCGAUCAUAGAGUUACGACUACGGCACAAGUGAAGCGACCUUUCCAACUCAGCUAUCUGGGCUUUUAAUCUUACUUCUUCAUUUCGGCAUUCUAACAAAUUUUUCUCCAAAACGCUUUCUCGAGCUCAGGCGUCUUGAAAUUUCUUUUCCCACUGAACAGCUUUGGCCUUUUCUUCCUUGAUCUCUUGUCGCCAUUGCUCUGAUGUUUUACCUAAACCCGUAGUUCUCAGUGACGAACGUAGCUUCUUACAAUCUGUUUUUAGACUAUCUAAAUCCUCUUCGGCCUUGUUCUUCCCUUUCCUCAAUUUUUCAGCUUCCAACUUGUGGAUAUCGACAUCUAGUCCUAAACGCAUCUUUUCCUCUUCUAGCUGCUCUAUCUUCUUUUCCAAUUCCAAACUUCGUUUUUCAAAGUCCUGUUUGAUGAUCUCUAAUUCUGAUGGAACUACUUGCAAAUGCUCCUCUAUGGAUCGAAUGCAAUCUUCUCUUGGCCCGGGGAUGUUAUCAUUAAUCCUCUUACUUCGCCAUCCAUGAUACUCGGGGGUCGUCAUUGCUCCCACAGUAAAUCGUUUCAUCCGAUGAGUUUGCCUCCAAGCAUUGGUCAUCUCUCGAAUCUUCUUCUUGUAACCAUCAUCUUUAUACGAAAACUCGCACUGAGCUAGUCCUUGGGUGGCAGGCACGAGCUGUCUUGACCCAUAUUGUUUCAGUACCAUCAAUGGCGCAUAGCCAACAGCUCCCCAAAUCCCAAGUAAAGGGACCCAGUCGAAAUUCCUACAUCGAUACAAGAUCUCAUCAGGCACCAUCCAAGGAGCUUUCCAUUCAACAUCUUCAUCUUUGAGAUUUUGAAGAAUCGCUAUCCAUCUUUCCACGGUAAUGUUGUCACGUCUCGGCAUGGCUGCUAAUUCCUUCAGUGGAGAAUAAUUCUUGGAGAAUACUCAGUAAGAAACUUUAUCCACUUUCCAGAAGUGACUGUGGAACCAUACUAACAAGAGCUGUGCACAUCCAAUGAAUCUUCCCUCCCCCGCGCUUCGGCACACACUUAAAGAUCUAAAUGUCUCGGUCAAAAUUGCUGGAACAGGUGUGACCCUCUUGUCCAGUCGAUCAAACAAAUCAAUAACUGCCUCGUCUAUAUAUCCCAACUCUCUAGGGAAAAUCAUCAGCCCAUAAAUGCCCAAAGUAAAAACAUCGACUCUUUUCUUUGUAUCAGGGUGAGCUAAAAUCAAAUCACGCAGACUUCUCCAAGGAAUACAUUUGUUUUCCCCUUUUUGUUUGACCCGUGCUAAGACCCAUUGCUCACUCAUUCCCAAGAUGUUCACUAGCUUCUUCACAAAAGUCGGGACAUUGACGGCUUUAGAAUAGACUUUAUCUGCCUGAAACCUUAGGCAACGCAGUAAGGCUGUAUAUUCCUCUAUGGUAGGCACCAAUCUAUCUCCCCAAAAGUAAAGCAACUAUAAGCGGGAUUCCAAAAUUGGGCUAGAGCUUGAAACAAAUGCUCGUCCACUUUAAUAUCAAGCAAAUAAGGCAAGUCACCAUAAUUAGAGUAAAACAAUUGUUUGACUUCAUCAUCCCACUGGGCCCAUAUUUCUUUCAACUCCCAGAAAUUAUUCUGAGUUACAUUGAUAUAAGUGAAGUUCGAUAACUCUGAUGUGUACCCUUCCGUCAAGCUGUCUCCUUUCUCGAGUUGCAUUUUUUUGACCAUAUUCGGACAACCGCAUUAUCUUCCACUUUAUCAAGAAAUUCACUUUCCAUGAUUAGCUUUCUAUCUAGUAACCGAAUGUGAAUCAACGCCUUUUAUAAUGAAAUGCCAUGUAUGCCAUACAGUCAAAACAAAACACAAUAAAUCAGUAUAAGAAUAAAAUCCAAUACAAGCAAUAAAUAAUAAAGCACCUAUUUAGGUAUAUACUAGGGGUUUGAAGUGAUUCUACCUAGGGUGGGUUCCUAAGGUUCACUAUAUGUGGUUUGGCUUCUAAAGAAAAGGUACCCGAACCAGCAGAUUCCUCGAUCCUCACCCAUUAUAGGCUCAUACGGACCGAGUUCGGUUCAGGGGAAUACAUUUCCCUAUGGCUGCACGGAGAUGAAAAUAUCAUGAAGACAUAGGUACGGAUGUAUCCCGAAAGCGAUUCACUAUCCUGCACGGAGGUGAAAACCUCACGAAGGACUAGCUUCUCACUCCCACUUAAAAGGUGUGACCAACGGUCAUGCAAUGCAAUGCAGAAAGAUAUAAAAAUUUAAAAUACAAAACAUGAUAAAAACUAUAACUCAAAACAAAUGAAAUGCAAUGAGAGGAUCGUAUAUUUAAAUCAAAUUUUCAACUUUCGACAAAAAGACAAGAAAUAAUCAACUCGUGGCUUGACUCUCUUAUUUAAAGUCCCCAGUGGAGUCGCCAAGCUGUUGACACCAUUUUUUUGAUUGAAAACGGGGUCGACUUGGGUUUUAAAAAUGAAAACGGGAGUCGCCACCAAUCCUUUUUAAUGAGGUGUGAUUGGAUCACCUCGAAAAGUGGUUGUUUUUAAUAAACGGUUUGAUUUUAUUAAAACAACGAUUUUGGUCCACGAAAUUCAGAAAACGGGUUCGGGAGUCGAUUACGUACGAGGAAGGAUUAGCACCCUCGUAACGCCCAAAAUUGGUACCUAGUUGAUUAUUUAAUGUCUUAAUGUCAAAAAUUGAUAACUUUGAAGAAUUUUAAAAAAUACGAUCCUUUGUCUUAAAAUGACUUGUAUAAAAUAGGUUGCUUGUAAAAAAAAAAAACUCCUACGAUAAAAAUUAAAAAAGGAUAUUCAAUUAUUCGAGUCAGAUGAGGAAAUCGCAACCCAAUACGUUGGGGCACCAUUUCUCAACAUUCCGAACAUUGAAUAUAGCCUUGGUUGUUUUUAAUAAAAUCCUCAUCUCGAAAAAACAACGUGUCACAUCCAAUGCGUUAGGACACGACAUAUUGAAUUCCCAAUAAUGAGCUUUUAUUUAUUUAUUUUUAAAAAAGUAACCUCGAUUAUUUAGAUUCAACAAAAAAAAUUGGAACCCAAUACGUUAGGGCUCGAUUCUCUCGAAGAUCCUAAAUACCGAGUGUUGCUUUUAUUUUGAAAUUUUUAUUCUUGAUAAAUUCGAGUAAAAUGGAUGUAAAAUAAUGAUAAUGAUGUCAAUGUAAAUAAAAUGAUACAAGCAAAACAAUAAAUAAUAAAAACAAUCAUACGGGCAAUGUAACAAAUAAUUAAGAACUAAAGUAAGAAAACAAACAAUAAUAAACAUGCAAAUAAAUGAGUAAAAUUAACAACAUGGUGCAAAUAUAAAAAUAUAUAAACACACACACACACACAUAUAUAUAUAUAUAUAAAUAAAACAAUGAGAAUAUGAAAAACAUGUGUAUGUGUACAUAUUUCGGAAUUAUUGUACAUUAAAAAUUAUGUAAGUGUAUGUACAUACAUAUAUACAUAUAUAAUAAUCAUUAAAUAUAUUAAAGUAUAUAUGUGUAAGUAUAUGUUAGUCAUAAAAUGUAAAGAAUAUAUACAAGUUAUAUUUUGAAAGUAUAAAGUAUAUGUAAGUGUAUAUAUAUAUAUUUAUGAAAAUGAAGUAUAGACAUGUAUAUAGGUAUAUAUAAAUAAAAUAUAGAAACAAAUAUGUGUAUGCAUAUACAUAAAAUAUACAUAGGUAUAUGUACAUAUAUUAUGAAAAUAAAGCUAAAAUAAUAAUAAUAAAUAAAAAUUAGUUAAGGCAUUAAUAAGAUUGUAAUGACUAAAUAAAUGGGAAAUAAAACCAAUAACAAUGAAUAACAAUAACGAUAAUAACAUUAAAAUAAUGAACACAGUCAUAAAUUACUAAAAGGGACUAAAUUAAAGUAAAAGCAAAAAUACUGGGCAAAUUCAAAAUAAAAGGGACUAAAUUACAAAGCGCGCCAAAAGGGAAGGGAUCAAAUGGACAAAUAACCCUACCGCCUCAAAACGCAGCGCAGCAGUGGGCCGGAUUGAAAUAAAAUUAAAAUUAUAGGGCUCGAUUAAAAAUAAAAGGAAAUAGCGAAAAGGACCGAAUUGCAAUGCGCUUUAAUAUUGGAGGGAUUGCGCGCAUAAAUAACCCAUUUGGCGAAAACACGCGGAUCCUCCCCUGGGUCGGGUCAACGCGCGGGUUAUGGGGUAAAACGACGUCGUUUUGGGGCCAGAUGAAACAAGCCAAAACGGCGUCGUUUCCAGGCGCUAUAAAAACAAAAUUUUUUUCUUUUCUUAAAAAAGAAACUCAAAAACUCUCUCAAGCCCUUCUGGGCAAUCCGAUUUCCGGCCUUAGGUCCGGCCGUCGGCCACUGCCCAGGUGACCGGUCGCCGGCGAUGGCGCCGCCGUCCGCUGUGGCCGAAAAAUUCAAAAAAAACCCACUUUGUCCCCUUUUCCGAGUAAGGUUCGUAUUCGAGGCUAGAAAAGCCGAAAUCCCAGCGAAAAGAGACCGAAAAUGGAAGAGACCCUUUGGUUCUUCCUCCUCUCCUCCGCCGAAAUCAGGUAAAACUCUCCUCUUUAUUUUUAUUUUAUAUAUUAUUAUGUAUAUUGAUUAAAUGAAAAAUGAGAAGAGAAAGAAACAAUGUAGAAAACUGAAAUAAAACAAAAAUAAGAAAAAAAAGUCGGAAAAAUCAAAGUAAAUCACCUUAAAAAACUUUUUUAUUUCUUCCAAUUUGUUUUUCCCCAAAAGCCCCUUACAAUGUUGAUAUUCAGCUAUUUAUAGCCCAUUACAUCCAUUUUUUUACAAUUUUCCUACUGUUAUUGUACUUGCUGUUGCGUAUGCUCUUCCUUGCAGGUGCCAGAGGAGUCGGUGGUGGUGGUUACGGCGGUAGCAGGGGGCAGGUAAGGAUGUUGGUGGCUGCAACGUUAGGCUAGGGUUUCAGUUCUGAAACCCUAGUUUGACUAAUCUUUUUGGGUCAGAUUUGGGGUUUGGGCUAGAUAUUGGGUUUGGGGUAUUGGGUUAGGCUAGUUGGGUUUAAUUGUUUUUGUUUUGUUUGUUGGGUUCGGGCAAAUGGGCUUGUACAAUUAUCAAACAUAAUUAAAAAAAUUUAACUGUUGAAAAUUUUCAUUCUCAAUGAAAUGAAAAUUUUUAAUAAUUUAUCACCUUUAAAUUUGUAAAAAAUGAUUUUGAGAAGUACUUAUUAAAAGUUUGAUUUAUGAUUUAAGUAUUUAGUAUUACUAUCAAAAAGGGUUUUAUGAGAAAUAAAAUGAUCAUUUUAGACAUGAUAUUAUAAAGUAACAAAUUUACAUUCAAAUAAUGUUUAAAUUAGUUAAUAUUAUGAUAUUUUAGUAAGAAUAUAAAAAAUAAUUUAUUAUAAUUUGUUGUUAAUAUUUUAAUAUAUGAAUAUAAAUUUUAAACAUUUUUAAACAAUUAAUAUUAAUUAUUUAUAAAAUUUAGUUCGAAUAUAUAAACUAUAUUUUAAAUAUUAAAAUAUAAACAAUAAAAAUUUAAAUAGAAAAGGAAUUACAUACCUAAUAUAAAUAUUAUAUAAAAUACUUUAUAAUGGUUAAAAUGGUCAUUUGUUCUUAAAAGCACUUUUGCCAAAAGCAAAAGUUAGAAAAACAAAAUAUACACUUCUGACUCAAAAAAUAGGUUGUAUAUAUAUUUAGUAUUGCUUAUGGCUCCAAAAACGUUUUCGACCUCAAAAGCAGUUUUAAGAAGUUAUGCUAAACUUAUAUAAUUGACUUAUCCAACCCCACACCAAAUAUGAGAUGUAUACUGGUAUAUUAUAAUUUGAAAGAUAUUUUAUGAUUUUUUAUAUAUAAAAAAGAUAUUUAUGAUAUUUAAUUAUUUUAAAAGGCGUGAUUUAAAAAAAUGUUGAUUUUAAAAAAUAUUUAGGAUUUUGGAUCGAUUUUUGAGAUAUUUAGGGAAAUAAGUCAAUUUUGGAGAGAAACAAAAAAACACAUUUUGCAAGGAAUGUUUUAUGCUGCCCUGUAGGAUACGUUUUCAUUGACAUUUCACUAUCUUUUUGACACAUCAGUUCCUUUGGUCAGAUGUUAGUGGUUUUUUUUCUUUAAGUCCCUGGUCCAAUUCAUCUCCUACUCACAUUUGUAUUUUAAUUUCAUGUUGUUUCAAGCUUCUUCUUCUUUUAAUUAUUGUUUGUAACACAUUAGCUUCUUUAAUUAGAUGGUUAAUUAAUAGUGAUUUUAUUCUUAAAGCCCAAGUUUAAUUUUUUUUGAGCACAUUUUUAUUUUUUAUUUCAUAUUGUUUCAACCUUUUUUUAAUUAAUAAAUAUAAUUUUCAAGUUUCUUUAAUUCAUCAGUUUAAUUAAUAACUCUUUUAUUUAUAAAAUCAAAUAAUUAUUGUCAAAUAUCAUUAUUUUUAGUAUUAUAUAUUUUUUUAUGUGUUUGAAAUAAUUAUUUGAAAUAUUUCACACGUAAAAACAUUUGAAAUAUCAUACCAUAAUGUAGAUGAAAAAAAUGAUAUAUGAAAUAUUUUACAUAUAAAAAUAAUAAUGGUUUUUGAAAUAAUUAUUUAAUUUUAUAAUAUUAGAAAACACCAUACCCACAAUCUAGGUGGAGAAAAUACAUAUUUGACAUAUAAAUAUUAUAUAUAAAGAAAAAUAUAUAAAAAAAUUAGUUGAUGUUUUUAAAAAAUAAAAUAUAUUUAUGAUAAAUAUCAAUUUUACCAAAAAUAUAUUUUUAUUAUAUAAUGUGUAAUAAUUAUUUGAUUUUAUAAAUAAAAGAUUUAUUAGUUAAAAAGAUGAAUUAAAAAUAGAAAAACUUGAAAAGAAUAUAUUUAUUAUUAUUUAACCAUCUAACUAAAAGAGCUAAUGUGUUAAAAGUAGUAAUUAAAAAUAAAAGUAAAGCUUGGAACAACAUGAAAUAAAAAUACAAAUGUGAGUAAGAGAUGAAUUGAACCCAAGACUCAAGGACAAAACUAUUAACAUUUAACCAUUUGGCCAAAAAAAUUUAUAUGUUAAAAGAGUAGAAAGCGCUUCCAUUUUCCUAAUUCUUUUUUAUUUUGGCAUUUUCAACAAUUUUAGCCCCCGAAAAGACUAUUAUAUUAUUCAAUUUUUGACAGAAAUAAGAUAUUUUUCGUGUUUGUUUUAUUGUCUAUAGAGAAUAAUUUUUUCGGGUUUAAGUUUAAGUUUAAGUUGACUGCUUCUAUUUUUAAUAUUAUGAUUUUUUUUCUCUUUUUUGAUACAAUAUUGGGAUGGAAAUAAUGGUAACAUGUUUGAACUUGAGUUUUUUUUUCUCUUUUAAACCGUAAUUUUUUUUAAAUUUUUUUUAGAAAACCAAUUCAUUUAAUAUAAAUUUUUUUAUUAUAAAAAUUUAACUUUAGUUGAAAUGAUAAAAUUGAGAUGGUGAAAAUUAUAUAAUGUUUAGGUUUAAAUAUCGUAUUUCUAGUUAUAUGUAUAUAUAUAUAUCUCUAAAUCUAUCAAAUAUACAAGACAUAAAAAUUUUUAAACUCUACAAAUAAUCGAGGAUAUCAUCUGUUUGGAAUAUUUUUAAAACAAAUCGGUAAAAUAUGUUUCUAAAGAAAAACAUUUGAAUUCUUUAAAAGUAGAAAAUGUAUAUGUAAUAAAUGAAGCUUUAAAAUUAUAUAUAAUUUAUUAUUAUAAGUUUUAGGGAUAAUGUCAUAUUUGAUAUUUGUACUUUUAUAAAAUGUCUAAUGUGAUACAUAAAUUAUCAAUAUGUGUUUUAUUAUAAUACUUUAAGUUAAAUAAUUAAACCAAUCAAUGAAUAUUCGAAAUGUGUUUUAUUAUAACAUUAUUUGAAAAAUUAAAUAAAGAAAAAAUAUUGAACUAAAUUAAAAAAAACAAAUAACUAAACGUAUGGUUAAUGCUAAACUUUCAUAAGCAACAAAAUGUCAUAUUUUCCAUUUAAACCAAAAAAAUAGUAAAUUUAUAUAAGCAAAAAUGUCUUUUUUUUUCGUUUAACCAAAUAGUAAUAUUCUUCAAUGAGUUAUCCAUUUGAAAUAAUAUUUUUAAUUAAUUUUUAAAUAUUUUUUAUUAUCCUUCACGUAAGUUUAGCGUUUACUUUUUUUUAUUAAUCAUAUGUUUAGUUGUUUAUUUUUUAAUUUAAUUUUUUUUAUUUUACUUAGUUUUUCGCGUAAUAUUAUAUUAUUUAUGUGUGCUUGAUGAUUUGAAAAGAAAAAUUUUGUAUCAAAUUUUCAUUGGUUGGUUCAACAACUUACCACCAGUAUUAACUUCAGUUACAAAAACAAAAUCCAUAUUAAUAGUUCAAGUAUUAGAUUGAAUAUUUUAAAACUGUCAACAAUUACGAAUUCAGAAUUGUAGUAAUGGAAGCAAGAUCAAGCCAUAUAUAUUGCAUUUUUUUAUUAGAAUUUGAGAAUUUGUUGGAUUUAUAUAUUUAGAGUUAAUUACACUAUUUAUCUUUAAAGUAUAGUUUUUAUUCUAAAUUCAUCUUCAAACUUCAAAAUGUUUUAAUUAUAUUUAAACUAUUGGUACUACAUCAAUUAUGUCUUUCGAUUAUUUAAAUUAUUAAUUUAAUUGUUAAAUUAUAUAUCAAAUUUUAUGUAAUAUAGUUUAAAACAAAAAAUAAAAGUGAAUAUUGUAAAAAUGGAUAUAGUUAAAACAUUUUGAAAUUUGAGGAUCAAAUUAAAAUAAAAAUCAUAAUUUAAGGAUGUUAAAUGGAAUUAACUCUUUUCAAAAUUAACCUUUUAUAAGAAAGAAGUUUAGAAAGUCACGAAACCUUGCCCAAAUUGUGGUCAGUGUGGUUUCUAAGAUUUUUCUAAAGUCUAUAUAUAUAUGAAAAAUCAACUCUCUACUCAUUUGAGUCAAUGGAGUGGAGAGAGGGAGAGGAGACGAGAAUGGGUAAAAAUGGGUAUCUUCCUCUUUUUGAAACAAGGCCAGCUAGGGGACUUGUCUUCUUCCGCUCCUACGCAGCUUCCAUCUUCAUAGGCAUCUGCUUCAUUUGUUUCCAUAGAGUGAGCUAUUUUCCAGUAACAGAGAGAUGGGUUUGGGUCGGAAUGUUUGUAGCUGAACUUUGGUUUAGUUUUUAUUUCUUCGUCACUGUAAUAGUUAAAUGGAACCCUGUCUUUCGUUCCACUUUCAAAGACAGACUCUCUUCCAGGUCUUCAUCUCUUUCACUCUGUCUCUCCAUAUAUUCCGUUUCACUUGUUCCUAGCGCUUGCUUGUUUCUUACAGGUACGAAGAAGAAGAAUUGCCAGGAGUAGACAUAUUUGUGUGCACGGCAGACCCAAGAUUAGAGCCACCAACAAUGGUAGUCAGCACAGUGUUAUCGGUCAUGGCUUAUGACUACCCACCUCAUAAGCUAAGCGUCUAUUUAUCUGAUGAUGGUUGCUCCGAUUUGACAUUUUAUGCUUUAUUAGAAGCUUCAGGGUUUGCCCAGCUAUGGCUUCCAUUUUGCAGGAAGCUGAAAGUAGAGCCCACAUCUCCUGAGGC
rnacentral:lncRNA from 1 species